GAACGCACAUUGCGCCCGCCAGUAUUCUGGCGGGCAUGCCUGUUCGAGCGUCAUUUCAACCAUCAAGCCCUGCUUGUGUUGGGGGUCCUGCGGCUGCCCGCAGGCCCUGAAAACCAGUGGCGGGCUCGCUAGUCACACCGAGCGCAGUAGCACAUCUCGCUUUGGUCGUGCGGCGGGUUCUUGCCGUAAAACACCCCCCUUUUAUCAAGGUUGACCUCGGAUCAGGUAGGAAUACCCGCUGAACUUAAG
rnacentral:misc_RNA from 1 species